AAUCCUUUAACGAGGAUCUAUUGGAGGGCAAGUCUGGUGCCAGCAGCCGCGGUAAUUCCAGCUCCAAUAGCGUAUAUUAAAGUUGUUGCGGUUAAAAAGCUCGUAGUUGGAUCUCGGUUUCACUCAGGUGGUACACCUUGCGGUGUUCACUAUCUGGGUGGACGUUUCUGUUGGUUCGCUCUUGGUGCUCUUCAUCGGGUGCCAUUUGGUGGCCAGCACGUUUACUUUGAAAAAAUUGGAGUGCUCAAAGCAGGCGUUACAGCCUGAACAUUAGUGCAUGGAAUAAUGGAAUAGGAUCUCGAUUCUAUUUCGUUGGCUUUCGGAGUCGAGGUAAUGAUUAAUAGGGACAGACGGGGGCAUUCGUACUGCGACGUUAGAGGUGAAAUUCUUGGAUCGUCGCAAGACGAACUACUGCGAAAGCAUUUGCCAAGAAUGUUUUCAUUAAUCAAGAACGAAAGUUAGAGGUUCGAAGGCGAUCAGAUACCGCCCUAGUUCUAACCAUAAACGAUGCCAACCGGCGAUCCGUCGUCGUUAAUUGAAUGACUCGACGGGCAGCCUCCGGGAAACCAGAGUGUUUGGGUUCCGGGGGAAGUAUGGUUGCAAAGCUGAAACUUAAAGGAAUUGACGGAAGGGCACCACCAGGAGUGGAGCCUGCGGCUUAAUUUGACCCAACACGGGAAAUCUCACCAGGCCCGGACACCGGAAGGAUUGACAGAUUGAGAGCUCUUUCUUGAUUCGGUGGGUGGUGGUGCAUGGCCGUUCUUGGUUGGUGGAGCGAUUUGUCUGGUUAAUUCCGAUAACGAACGAGACUCUGGCCUACUAACUAGAAGGUCUAUCCUUUAUGGGUAGGCCUCUGCUUCUUAGAGGGACGGGCGGCGUUUAGCCGCACGAGAAUGAGCAAUAACAGGUCUGUGAUGCCCUUAGAUGUUCUGGGCUGCACGCGCGCUACACUGAAGGAAUCAGCAUGUUCUCCCCUCCCUGAAAAGGGCGGGUAACCCGUUGAAACUCCUUCGUGAUGGGGAUUGGAGAUUGUAAUUAUUCUCCAUGAACGAGGAAUUCCCAGUAGGCGCGAGUCAUCAGCUUGCGUCGAUUACGUCCCUGCCCUUUGUACACACCGCCCGUCGCUACUACCGAUCGAGUGAUUUAGUGAGGACUUCGGACUGGUCUUCAAGUUGGCUUCGGUCGGCUCGAAGUUCCGGAAAGAUGCCCAAACUUGAUCACUUAGAGGAAGUAAAAGUCGUAACAAGGUUUCCGUAGGUGAACCUGCGGAAG
rnacentral:rRNA from 1 species